rnacentral:tRNA from 14 species
GAUAGCUGCUGGUCGUUGGUUUCGGCUUCAAACCUGCAGUCG